rnacentral:rRNA from 1 species
GACAGGGGGUGCAAACGUUGUUCGGAAUUACUGGGCGUAAAGCGUGUGUAGGCGGCCGCGCAAGUCGGAUGUGAAAGCCCUGGGCUCAACCCAGGAAGUGCACCCGAUACUGCAUGGCUCGAGUACUGGAGAGGUUGGUGGAAUUCUCGGUGUAGAGGUGAAAUUCGUAGAUAUCGAGAGGAACACCGGUGGCGAAGGCGGCCAACUGGACAGAUACUGACGCUGAGACACGAAAGCGUGGGGAGCAAACAGG